rnacentral:lncRNA from 1 species
CUGAAGUAAGUGGACUAGUUCUGAGCCGAAGGAGACACCUUUCUUUCCGCUUGCCCCUCUGGGACCUUCCACCAUGGGAAGGACAUGCCCCAGUUCCUGGGGUUCAUUCAGUUUGGGCUCCAGAAUGAGGCAUGAGGCGUGAGGCAUGAUGCAUGAGGCAGACCUGAACUUGAUCCACAGGUGGAUUGCAGAACUACCCCAGCCACCUGUCAAAGCUGUGAGCAAUAAAUAAAUGUGUAUUUUCUUUGCCUCACAGAUUGGUAAUUGUUUGUCAGGCAGCUGCAUCGUGGUAGAAGCUUGCUAAUAUGCCUGGUCUUUAGGUUCCUGUCUGUAAUGUCACACUGUGCAUGUUUUAUGGUGGGGGUUGGGGGUAUGCCCAAGCCUACCUGUUUGGGGUACCAGAUGGCCUCCGAGAUCAUGUGAGGGAAAUGCCACACGAAAGCAGGAUCCCCCAAAACAGGGAUGUGGGGCUCAUCUGGAUGGAAGAGCUGGCACUCAGGUGAAUGUCAGGAUUGGUUUAGCUCAAGGCUUCUCAACCUCAGUGAUACUGACAUUUUGUUGUGGGACCUGUCCUGGGCAUAAAAGUUUAGAAGCAUCCCUGGUGUUUACCCACUAGAUGCUGGUGGCACUCCUCUCCCCGGUUUGUGACAACCAAAAUGUCUCCAGACAUUGCCAACGAUCACUCCCUGUUGAGAACCCGGUUCAAUUUUUCGGGAAGGCUUUGCACUUGCUUGGUCUCCCAAAUGUCAGGAAGUCCCUCCCAAUCCCUGAAACUGGAGGUCAACAGGUCAUCUCUCAUCACUUUUGCAUAUUAUCUACACUCCUGUUUCCCCUGGCACAUGGUGAGUAACACACACACACACACACACACACACACACACACACACACACACCACGUUGUUGCUGUUGUUGUUGUUGUUGCUGCUGCUGCUGUUAUGACCCUAGGCACUGAGUUAGUUGUUGGCUGAGUCAGCAUUAGGGCUGGGUUUCUGGGUUUUGACUCCAGGGCUCUCUCACCCCCUCCUCCCAGGUGUUUCCAGAAGCCCGGAAAGCACUUUGCUGGGUAUUCCGAAAGUGCUGGCAUUCGCAGUCGGGAUUGUGUGCCCAAAUCCAUCCUGUGUGUUUCCAAGU